ACAUGACAUCAACAAUUUGGCGGUAUUGUUUGUUUAAUUUUUUUUAAGUCGUUUUGUUUGCAAACCUACUGAACGUGGUGUUAACUUUAAAUGAAGGUGUUGCAUUAUGGGCAUUUUGUGGAGCAAGCGUUGGUGGCAUCAUGGGAUUUUUACGAUGGAGGACUUUGUUGGAUGUAUGUUAUUUUUAGUUUUAAGUUUCAGAAGUUUGUUUCAUGUUAUAAAGACUAUAAUUUGUUCUUCAGUAGUUUAAUUAUCGUUUGAUGUUUAAGAUUUGUCUAAGCCUCCAGAAUUGGUUUUGGGUUCAUAUGUUGCAAGUUUUUCAACUUUUGUUUCAUAAGUAUUAUUUCUAAUCCCUUUUGUAUCAGAUAUUUUGAAUCUUUUUGUUGAAACAACAUUGCU
rnacentral:lncRNA from 1 species